UUGUUUUUUCUUUGCUGUGGUUUUGUUUUGAAGACCUCCCUUUGGUUGGACUUCUAUUUUGCCGGCUUUUGUUUUUAGUGCCUAGUAUUCUUGAUUGUAUCUCUAACUCUUCUAUUUUCAUUAAUAUAUUUUGGUCUGCAGUGCUAUUAAAAAAACAUUGCUUUGACAUAUCUUUAAAUCUUAAUGAUGUACAUGAGAAAUGUUUAAGUUGUGUUGCA
rnacentral:lncRNA from 1 species